rnacentral:rRNA from 1 species
GACGAAGGGGGGCUAGCGUUGUUCGGAAUUACUGGGCGUAAAGUGCGUGUAGGCGGUUGUCCAAGUCGGGUGUGAAAGCCUUGAGCUCAACUCAAGAAAUGCACUCGAUACUGGGCGACUAGAGUGCCGGAGAGGAUAGUGGAAUUCCCAGUGUAGUGGUGAAAUACGUAGAGAUUGGGAAGAACACCAGUGGCGAAGGCGGCUAUCUGGACGGUUACUGACGCUAAGACGCGAAAGCGUGGGGAGCAAACAGG